UUGGCCAUUGCGAUAGGAAUGAAUCUACCUCAACAAAAAGAACCCGAGUUGAAAAUUCUCUGCCUCUCUGUAGUCAAAACUCCUAAGCUUUUCAGGUCAGCGUGCAGGCACAGCUUGAACUAGGACAGCCAAGCCACAAUUUCUAAACUUGUCAUAAGCCUGCCGUGACUGUGACAGGCUGACUUCUUCCACAAUGACAGGAGAGUGCAAUUGGGCUGUCUAGCUCCAGGGAAAGCUGCCCCCCCCAUAGAAGCCAUCAAGGCAAAGAGCUCCCACUGUUCUAACCAGUAACACUCUCACCUUUGGUGCUUACACUCCCCAGAUAACCAGCAAUCGAUUUAAAAGAUGCUGCAGGAGCAGAGUCCUGAAAGCUGAGGUGCUGAGCAGGGCCUGGUGAGUAGGGGACUCUGCUCCUGUGGUACUGAGACUGCAGCUCUCUAGCUGCCAGGUUACUCAUUCUGGGACUCAGGAAGUCAAAGAGAAACACUCAUUAGCAUCAUGGGAGUUGUGCUUGAGCUCAGACACAUUCAUUCUCCACCCUGUCGCUGCCAGGCUUGCUGUGACAAAAAACAUGGCUUUUCAGGGUUCCUCAGUUCUAGUUUUUGUCAACCCAGCCAGCCUGACACUGAGUGCAACACCCAGGAAUGUUUACAAGUCGAGCUCUACACGUCUGGUGCUGCAGAGUACCGCAGAAUGAAUGGGGCUUGGAAAAGGUUUAAAUUAUUCAUGAAUUGUCAUUAAAUGAUUUAUUGUAAAAUAAAGGACAAUUUUCUCUAAAGAAGGUGCUGCCCUCUACCUCCCCCUCCCCCGCCACCUGCGUUGUGUCUGUACGUCUGCGACUACUGCCUUAUGUGCCGUGACAAACCGACUUUCCUAACGAAUGGGAAUCUAUGCCCAUCUUAUUGGAUGGAGCUGAGCCCAUGUUUCCAUGUUCAGUUCAGACUCUCUUUGAUCCAGAAGGAUACUGUGGCCAAGAUAGGCCAUGGGAUUAUGCUGGUCUUUUUAUUCCACUGUGCUUCCCUCCCUACCCAGCAGGUUCUGUUGUUGUCUAUGGAUUUAUCAGUCUCAUGUACAUUAGAAGCUCCUUAGGACAGGGAUGUAUUUUCUUAUUUGUCUGGAGAGCACUGUGCACACACCACUGGUGCUAUAUAAUCAAUCUGGCUGCUCCCAAGAGCUGUGAUUAUCAUGCAAGAGAAGGUAAGGGAGAUAGGGCUGGAUGCCCUCUGCAUAUCCAGGGCAUGGUUACUUCAGAGGGUGUUUCAUGAUAAACAAAGCCCCAGUUGCAGGUGCUGUUGUUUUUUGACAGGUGUUUUUGAAGCUGUAAAUGUGCAUUUUGGGUGGCCUCUUGGUUAGUAAUGUUCCUCAUUUAAACCACAUACUAGGCUGUACUUUCCAUGCAUUCCACAGUAUGCUGACUUGGCCUUCACAGGAUUUAUUCAUCAUCACCUUCCCCUGCCCCCAUGAAGAAGCCUUCAGUGUUGUACAUUCCAUGCUCUCUAAACCAGGACAACCCUGCUGUGCCCCACUGAGAGCUUCGUUAGGCCUUGGCUACACUUGCAAGUUAGAGCGCAUUAAAUCAGCCCUGGGUGCCCUAACUCCUGAGGUGUUCACACUGGCAAGGCACGUAGAGCGCCCAGAGUCCAUGGCUGGAGCGCCCCUGGUAAUCCACUUCCAUGAGAAGCAUAAAGCUUGCUGCACCCCAGCUGGAGUGCCAAAGUGCCAGUGUGGAUGCCCUGGUCCAUUAAUGCACUCUGAUCGGCCUCCAGAAAUGUCCCACAAUGCCUAUUCUAGCCACUCUGGUCAUCACUUUGAAUUCUACUGCCCCACCCUCAGAUGACCAACUUUCAGACCCCCCCUUUAAAUUCUCUGGGAAUUUUGAAAUUCCCCUUCCUGUUUGCUCAGCCAGGCGCGGAGUGCUUUCAGCGAAUCUUUCCAGGUGACCAUGCCUCCAUGCACCAGGCAAUCCCCAGUAUGGAGCAAUGGCGAAGAGCUGGACCUCAUCAAUGUUUGAGGGGAGAAAGCUGUCCAGUUCCAGAUAUCAAGGGUCAUGCUGGAAAGGGGCCAUGACAGGGACACUCUGCAGUGCAGGAGCUGCGGAAUGCCUACCCCAAAGCCCGAGAGGCAAAUGGCCGCUCCAGUGCUGCCCCUGCGACCUGCUGUUUCUACAAAGAACUGGAUGCAAUAUUUGGGGGUGACCCCACCUCCACUCCGAAGAGCACCAGAGGCCUUAGCAGUCCAGAGUUCAACAGGGCAGGAGGAGGAAAGCAGGAGCAAGGGUGCUGAGGAGGAGGGGGGCCCAGAGCCAGAGGAUGGUCCAGCAUCCCUAUAUGCAUGCAGCCAGGAGCUGUUUUCAAGCCAGGAGGAAGGUAGCCAGUUGCAGCAGACAGUGUUUGAGGAAGAACAAACAGCAGAGGAGGUGCCCGAUGCAACCUUGAGAUCCCAGCCGUCCUUGUUAUCAAUGGCCGAAAGGCUACAAAGAAUCAGGAAGCGGCCGCGAAGAAGCCAGGAGGACCUUCUGCAUGAAGUCAUGCAGCAGUCCCUACUGAAAAUCAAAAAGUAUAGGAGUGGUGGGAGACUGCAAGGAGGCUCCACCAGCAGAAUGCAGAUCGCUGGCACCAAAGCAUGGAGCAGCUGUUAAGCAUUAUGGAGCGCCAAGCAGACUCAAUGCAGGCACUCAUAGCACUGCAGACGGAGCAGAUCCACACCUGGCCCCACCCCGCAGCCCUUGUCCCAAAACUCUUUCCCUUGUGCCCCCAUGUCACCACCAACCCACUUCACCCAACAUCCAGUUUCUUACCACCACCAGCUGCCUCUAACACCUGUAGCUUCACCACCCAGCCCAGCAAACUACGACGCUUACCCACUGCACUCAACCCCCUUCACCGUGCAUUUUAGCCAGCCUGAAGUGCAGCACCCAUUGCACCACACUCCAGACAGGAAGGCUGAAUAUGAUAACAAGACACAUGCAAAUCUGUGCUUGUCCAUUUCCCACCCCAUCCCCUUCCCUCCUCCCACACAGCACAGAUGUGUCAUGCCUUUUCUGUUCCCCAGCAGUUGUUUCUUUUCAAUAAAUGAAUUUUUUUGGCUUUGAAAA